AUACGGAGGGUGCAAGCGUUGCUCGGAUUCACUGGGCUUAAAGGGCGCGCAGGCGGUCCUGCAAGUCAGAUGUGAAAGCCCACGGCUCAACCGUGGAAGUGCAUUUGAAACUGCAGGACUUGAGUAUCAGAGGGGAAAGUGGAAUUCCCGGUGUAGAGGUGAAAUUCGUAGAUAUCGGGAGGAAUACCGGUGGCGAAGGCGACUUUCUGGCUGAAUACUGACGCUGAGGCGCGAAAGCGUGGGGAGCAAACAGGAUUAGAAACCCCAGUAGUCC
rnacentral:rRNA from 1 species